UUGGAGGGCAAGUCUGGUGCCAGCAGCCGCGGUAAUUCCAGCUCCAAUAGCGUAUAUUAAAGUUGUUGCAGUUAAAAAGCUCGUAGUUGAAUUUCGGGAUCAAUACGUCGGUCGUGCUUUCGGGUACGUACUGGCGUCAUUGGUUUCUCCUUUCUGACGAACCAUGAUGUCAUUAAUUUGGUGUUAUGGGGAGUUAGGACUGUUACUUUGAAAAAAUUAGAGUGUUUAAAGCAGGCAUUAGCUUGAAUACAUUAGCAUGGAAUAAUGAAAUAGGACGUUCAUCCUAUUUUGUUGGUUUCUAGGAUCAACGUAAUGAUUAAUAGGGAUAGUUGGGGGCAUUAGUAUUCAAUUGUCAGAGGUGAGAUUCUUGGAUUUAUUGAAGACUAACUACUGCGAAAGCAUUUGCCAAGGAUGUUUUCAUUAAUCAAGAACGAAAGUUAGGGGAUCGAAGACGAUCAGAUACCGUCGUAGUCUUAACCAUAAACUAUGCCGACUAGGGAUCGGAUGAUGUUAAUUUUUUAAUGACUCAUUCGGCGCCUUACGGGAAAC
rnacentral:rRNA from 1 species